rnacentral:rRNA from 1 species
UGGGGAAUAUUGCACAAUGGAGGGAACUCUGAUGCAGCGACGCCGCGUGAGUGAUGAAGGAAUUCGUUUCGUAAAACUCUGUUCUAUGGGAAGAAAAGGACUGUACCAUAGGAGAAAGCUCCGGCUAAAUACGUGCCAGCAGCCGCGGUAAUACGUAUGGAGCGAGCGUUGUCCGGAAUUAUUGGGCGUAAAGGGUGCGCAGGCGGCUUUACAAGUUGGAUGUGAAAUAUUGUGUCUCAACCACAAACGUGCAUCCAAAAAUGCAAAGCUUGAGUUAAGGAGAGGUAAGGGGAAUUCCUGGUGUAGCGGUGGAAUGCGUAGAUAGCAGGAGGAAUACCGGUGGCGAAGGCGACUUACUGGACUUAAACUGACGCUCAGGCACAAAAGCGUGGGGAGCAAACAGG